GGGUCCUGAGGGGAAAGAGGAAGCAGAACUGAGAACUGGGGUCUCCACAGUCUAUCUGGCCAUCAUUCCCCGACCCCAGAGCCAAGGGCUGUCACCUUCCUCUGCAGCCACAGACGUUCCCAAACCACUCUCCCUUCCUGUACCAUUUCAGCUCAAACAGAAAACAUCCCUGCUGUCACUGCUGACUGGUGCCUUUCAUACUCCUGGGCUAAAUGCCCCCAGCUUUACUCAACUGCAACUCCCCUAGGUAACUUUGUAGAACCAGAGACAGAGAGAGAUCUAGAAGCAGGAGCAUGGACCUCAGCUGGCCUGUGACAGGGAAAAGGCAUGGAAGGAGUGGAGAAAGCAGAACCACCAUCAAGGAGUAAUUCUGGCCAAGACUUCUGUGCUGGGUGUCAUCCUAAAUGCUGGAUGGGAACAGACUCAUGGAGUCCUUACAUACUCCGACGAAGAUGGGUUCUGUUACUGUCCUGCUACCCAGAGACACAGACGCUCCUCACCAUCUCAUAUUACAUGCUUGUUGUAGUCAGAACCCCAGAGGACCACCCGACGAUCACGGCCCCCUCCGGACACCAGCGUCCCGUCCCGCAGGGCGCAGAGGCCAA